UCCUGGCUCAGAUUGAACGCUGGCGGCAUGCUUUACACAUGCAAGUCGAACGGGGUUGGGAGCUUGCUUCCAAUCUAGUGGCGAACGGGUGAGUAAUACAUCGGAACGUACCGUGUAGUGGGGGAUAACGUAGCGAAAGUUACGCUAAUACCGCAUACGAUCCACGGAUGAAAGCAGGGGACCUUCGGGCCUUGUGCUAUACGAGCGGCCGAUGUCUGAUUAGCUAGUUGGUGGGGUAAAGGCCCACCAAGGCAACGAUCAGUAGCGGGUCUGAGAGGAUGAUCCGCCACACUGGGACUGAGACACGGCCCAGACUCCUACGGGAGGCAGCAGUGGGGAAUUUUGGACAAUGGGCGCAAGCCUGAUCCAGCCAUGCCGCGUGUCUGAAGAAGGCCUUCGGGUUGUAAAGGACUUUUGUCAGGGAGCAAAACCCAGCAGCUAAUAUCUGUUGGGGAUGAGAGUACCUGAAGAAUAAGCACCGGCUAACUACGUG
rnacentral:rRNA from 1 species